rnacentral:rRNA from 1 species
AUUGAACGCUGGCGGCAGGCCUAACACAUGCAAGUCGAGCGGACGAAGGGAGCUUUCUCCUGGAUUCAGCGGCGGACGGGUGAGUAAUGCCUAGGAAUCUACCUGGCAGAGGGGGAUGACAUCCGGAAACGGGCGCUAAUACCGCAUACGACCUGAUGAUAAAGUGGGGGGUCUUCGGACCUCAGGCGAUUAGAUGAGCCUAGAUCGGAUUAGCUAGUUGGUAGGGUAAAGGCCUACCAAGGCCACGAUCCGUAACUGGUCUGAGAGGAUGAUCAGUCACACUGGAACUGAGACACGGUCCAGACUCCUACGGGAGGCAGCAGUGGGGAAUAUUGGGCAAUGGGCGAAAGCCUGAUCCAGCCAUGCCGCGUGUGUGAAGAAGGUCUUCGGAUUGUAAAGCACUUUUAGUUGGGAGGAACGGCAGUAAGUUAAUACCUUGCUGUCUUGACGUUACCUACAGAAUAAGCCCCGGCUAACUUCGUG